GCGGGGAUAGCUUAGUUGUGAGAGUGUCAGAUUGAAGAUCUAAAGGUCAUAUGUUCGAUCCACGUUCACCGCA
rnacentral:tRNA from 1 species